UGGUAGUUCAGUUGGUUAGAAUACCGGCCUGUCACGCCGGGGGUCGCGGGUUCGAGUCCCGUCCACUCCGCCA
rnacentral:tRNA from 2 species